rnacentral:rRNA from 1 species
AUUGAACGCUGGCGGCAGGCCUAACACAUGCAAGUAGAACGAGUGGCGGACGGGUGAGUAAUGUCUGGGAAACUGCCUGAUGGCGGGGGAUAACUACUGAAAACGGUAGCUAAUACCGCAUACCAUCAUUUCUGCCCAGAUGGGAUUAGCUAGUUGGUGGGGUAACGGCUCACCAAGGCUACGCUCCCUAGCUGGUCUGAGAGGAUGACCAGCCACACUGGAACUGAGACACGGCCCAGACUCCUACGGGAGGCAGCAGUGGGGAAUAUUGCAAAAUGGGCGCAAGCCUGAUGCAGCCAUGCCGCGGGUAUGAAGAAGUCUUUCGGGUUGUAAAGUACUUUCAGCGGGGAGGCGUUACCCGCAGAAGAAGCACCGGCUAACUCCGUGCCAGCCGCCGCGGUAAUAC